rnacentral:misc_RNA from 1 species
AACAGCAGGAUGUAUGUUCUCGAGGGUGUGACCCCUUGCAUACAAUCUAUGCAAUUACAAGCCGGAGAUACAGUGACUUUCAGCCGCAUGGAUCCAGAAGGAAAGCUUUUAAUGGGGUUUCGUAAAGCAUCAACUGUUAAAAUAACUCAGGAAAAUCGUCUGUCAGCCAUACCCAAGAAUGUUUUCUCUACUGAACCCACCUCCUUCUCAGCAAUGCCUGAGAAUCUACCUUUGAUGAGUGGUUAUUCUGGCCUUCUUCAAUCAUUUAAAGGAAGCAGGGAGUCUUCUGUGAAUUUAUCCUCGAAGCAUUUCAAUAGUGGUGAUUUUAGCUGGUACUUAACGGAGAAGAACGGAGGCAGGAAUGCAGAUGGUGCCUUCUCCCCUUCAAUGCCUGUAUCAGAGCGUAAAAGAAGUCGUAAUAUUGGGUCAAAAAGUAAGAGACUGCUCAUUGAUGCCCACGAUGCUUUGGAGU